GGUUCCAAACCCGAAGGUUUUUAAUCUUGCUUAACAAUAAUAUGUAAUUCAACAUAUAUAUAUAUACGGGUAAUUGACAAAAGUGUAUCAACAUGUGAAUAAAUACCAUGAUUAUCCAAGUGGGGACACUUGUAUAACCAUUUAGAAAUCAACUGAACAGAAUAUAUAUCUGAGCUAGCAUGCUGAUAAUCAAAGAGUACAUAAUCUGUACAGGAAUAGAAUAAUUCUGAAACUUCUUACUCAUGUCCAUUGCAUAAAGGAAAUGCAAAGGUAGGAUACUUGCCUGAUUCGCUGAUUACAAAUCUCAACUUAGGUUUUAUCUCUUUAUCACAACCUAUCAAUAAUCAGAUCAUUCGUUCGAUUAGAACAAUAUAUCUUAACACAUAGUACUG
rnacentral:lncRNA from 1 species